UCGGGAAUUUUGGGCAAUGGGGGAAACCCUGACCCAGCAACGCCGCGUGAAGGAUGAAGUAUUUCGGUAUGUAAACUUCGAAAGAAUAGGAAGAAUAAAUGACGGUACUAUUUAUAAGGUCCGGCUAACUACGUGCCAGCAGCCGCGGUAAUACGUAGGGUGCAGGCGUUAAUCGGAAUUACUGGGCGUAAAGCGUGCGCAGGCGGCUCCUUAAGUCAGAUGUGAAAUCCCCGGGCUUAACCUGGGAACUGCGUUUGAAACUGGGGGGCUUGAGUGUGGAAGAGGGGGGUGGAAUUCCAGGUGUAGCAGUGAAAUGCGUAGAGAUCUGGAGGAACACCGAUGGCGAAGGCAGCCCCCUGGGCUAACACUGACGCUCAUGCACGAAAGCGUGGGGAGCAAACAGGAUUAGAUACCCAUGUAGUCCCUGAGCGGGCUGGCAAGGCGCAU
rnacentral:rRNA from 1 species